rnacentral:rRNA from 1 species
GCACUUUGGGAAAAGCCUGGGAAACUGGGUCUAAUACCGAAUAUGACCUUGGGAUGCAUGUCUCUUGGUGGAAAGCUUUUGCGGUGUGGGAUGGGCCCGCGGCCUAUCAGCUUGUUAGUGGGGUGAUGGCCUACCAAGGCGACGACGGGUAGCCGGCCUGAGAGGGUGUCCGGCCACACUGGGACUGAGAUACGGCCCAGACUCCUACGGGAGGCAGCAGUGGGGAAUAUUGCACAAUGGGCGCAAGCCUGAUGCAGCAACGCCGCGUGGGGGAUGACGGCCUUCGGGUUGUAAACCUCUUUCAGCAGGGACGAAGCGCAAGUGACGGUACCUGCAGAAGAAGGACCGGCCAACUACGUGCCGGCAGCCGCGGUAAUACGUAGGGUCCGAGCGCUGUCCGGAAUUACUGGGCGUAAAGAGCUCGUAGGUGGUUUGUCGCGUUGUUCGUGAAAACUCACAGCUCAACUGUGGGCGUGCGGGCGAUACGGGCGGACUGGAGUACUGCAGGGGAGACUGGAAUUCCUGGUGUAGCGGUGGAAUGCGCAGAUAUCAGGAGGAACACCGGUGGCGAAGGCGGGUCUCUGGGCAGUAACUGACGCUGAGGAGCGGAAGCGUGGGGAGCGAACAGGAUUAGAUACCCUGGUAGUCCACGCCGUAAACGGUGGGUACUAGGUGUGGGUUUCCUU